GUUUUCACCAAAAACAAAGGCGCCAAAACUAAUUGAGCUAUAUAUACCGAAAUAAAAAAUUCCAAAUAUUAAUCAAACUCUCUAUCUUUUGAAAACACAAGCACACCUAGUUUCUACACAUCGCUCCUGUUAUCUGCUCUGCCCUAGUUCUACCAAUUAAUUUCUUAUCUCCUCAGAUUCUUCUCUUGUUCAUCAAAAACCUCUCAAGGUUUAAUAUGAAACCAUCAAAGACUGAAAAUGAGGUGGGAUCAACUAUGAAGACUACUACCAGAUAUGCAUUCGUCGCGCCAAGUGCUAUAGGUGCUAUAGGAAAGGGACGAGGAUGAGGAGGGCUUAGAUCUUUGAUUGAGAAACAGAAUAUGCCAACUAAGAGUUUAUUUCCUCAAUCUAGUGAUAUAGUUAAGCAAUACAUCCAAGAAAUUGAAACAAGUGCUACAGGGAUGGGAUGAUGACAAGGUCCUAAAAACUCUACGGUGUCUGCUAGUCAAGGAAUGGGAAUGAUAAUAAAAAUUCCAUGGUUCUUGAGAAAGAGUAUAUGCAAUUUGAUAGUCCAUUGCCUCCAUCCACUGAUCAAGUUAAGCAAUACACUCAAAAAGUUGAAAUAAGUGCUACCGGGAAGGGACGAGGACAAGGUCUUAAAAACUCUACA